CCCUAGCCCUGAUAGUAGUGUAAAUCCUUUUAAUCGCCGCAGCGAAUAAAAGAUUGAAACGGAUAGCAGGAAACAGC
rfam:Flavobacterium fryxellicola strain DSM 16209 FBFR11, whole genome shotgun sequence.